UUAUAAAAGGAACUUAUAUACUUUAUUUACAUGAAACCAAAACAACAGUAAUAAAACUAAAUAUACACACUACUAAACGAUUGAUCAAACCUACCUAACUGAACCUAACAAAUAAAGCAGCUAUUUGGAAAAACUACAACAGUAAGCUACUUGCAGCAGCAAUAAUUACUACAGCAGAUAUGGGGCAACAGCUAUAAGGCAACAGUAAUAACUGCGGCAGACAGUUAAGCAGUAAUAACUGUGGCAGACAGUUAGGCAGUAAUAACUGCGGCAGACAGUUAGGCAGGAAUU